rnacentral:sRNA from 1 species
AUAUCACACUCUGAGGAAGCAUUUCCCCUUUCUCGAACCCUAGAACUCUUUUCUCUCUCUCGAACUCUCUUGCUCUCAAACCCUCUUCUCUGUGGAGUCAUCUUCAUCAAUCUUUCAUCAACCAUUCAUUCACCUCUCCUCUCCAACCCUAGUGUGCAACAUCUCUUUCCUUCACAGAGGGUCGGGUAGUGAGAGUGCUUCUUUGUUCAGUGUGUGUGACCUAUCGGAGUCCUGCUACCGUUGUGGAUGGUCGUCCAUUCCGCCAUCAUUCUCGGCCAGUGGAAAACUCCCAAACCCGCCUUGCACUGGCGAGAGCCUUAAUAGGUCUCAAAGCCAGUCGUUCGAAAAAAAGUUCGUGCGUGAAACCCGCUGCUGAGGAGGUCGAGCACGUGGUAGCAGUAAUGCUUCUCCCGUGAAGGUUAAAGAAAGUGCUUUGAUUCCUAAAGAUUUGCUUUAUGUUUUCUCGAAUCUGUCAAGGAAUCUAAAUUUCAUUGAGCAUACACACAUUGCUGGUUGGAAA